UGCAGUCUGGUUCAAUUCAGCCCCAUUCCUGCCUUGUUGGUUGCUAGCCAGACAGCUGCCACAGGAAUCUCUUUAGCUCAUGGUCUCUGGUUCUCCUGCUCUGGAAAUUGGGGAUAAGUUUAACUGUGUGCAGAG
ensembl:snoRNA